rnacentral:lncRNA from 1 species
CGUGAAAAUCCGUCCUGUUCUGUUCCGUUCUGAUUACCAGUGCAUGCAGCCCCCAGUCAUGUACCCACUGCUUGCUCAAUCAUUCACGACCCUCUCACGCGGACACUCUUAGAGUUGUAAGCCCUUAAAAGGGACAGGGAUUGCUUACUUGGGAGCUCAGUUUUUUGAGACGUAACUCUGCCGACGCGCCUGGCCAAAUAAAGCCCUCUCCUUCCUCAACUCGGUGUCUGUGGCUCGUCCUGCUACAAUGCAUCUACCCAUACAGGGCUUCUGAGGUGAUCGGGCAGCGUCAGUCUUCAGCUGCUAAGCCGAGAAGAUCUGGGAAGGAGUCAGUCAGAGAGCCUUGGGCCAGAGUU